ACUACAUUGGUGGACAUGUUUUCUCGACUCAGCAAUCUUUUUAGGAGAGCCAGUGUGGAUGGGAGAGAGGCCAGAGAGAGGAGGGAGGAUGCUGGCCUUCCAUCUGAGAGUAAUGAAGGAACAAGAAAGUGGACUGGGAGAAUGUGGAAAAGCAGACAGGAAAGUAGACUCUUCCAUAGAUACUCCAAACAGACUACUUCAAGAAACAAAGAACUAUGUUUGAACCUAUGGUGCUUAGAAGGAAGAUCAAAGUAUGGAUGCUUCAGUCCUGCAUUAAGGGGAGAACAGGAUGAUCAUGGGACUCACAGACAGACAUCAUCCACUGCACCUGACCUAAGCAAGAAUGAGUUCAAAAAGGAAAAGGAGAGGCUGACAACAGAGCUGCACUUCAUUACCCAGAAGAGAAAUGAGCAGAGAGAUCACCUGAUAGCUUUCAAAGAGGGAUCCAUGAACAAGAGGAGUCAGAGACUCCAGCAAGAGCUGAAAUUUCCACAUCCCAGGAAGAGAGCCUCCUGCAGAAUGAGUUUCCACCUCAGGAGCCCCCUGCUGAACUCCAUCCCCAACAUCCACAGUCUACCUUGGAUGAAUCUUAUUACAUUCAGUACAUUUUCGCGGUGUGAAUAGGAGGAAGCUAGUGAGCCAGCUGAUUCAUGGUGUUAUUCCCUUUCCUGUUCUGGCAACAUCCCUUGAGUGAGGACUGAGGUGACUGCCCUGCCAACAGCAGUCCAAGAGGAGAUACAGGCUGUAGGUCUGUACUUCUUAAUAUGCAGUGAAAGGGUGCUGAUGUAGAAUCAUUUCCUGUUAGAGUUUUGGUUAAAGUUUUGCUCUUUAUAGUUUUAUUCUUUUUUUAGGUUUUGGGAAGUUAUGUGUUCUUAUGAUUGGUAUUCAUGUUUAGUUUUUGAUUUUAUCUAUUUAUAUUAACUGUACUUUUAAAGCCUGUUUUUUAAACUUUAUAUUUCUUAUAAAUAAAAAUUGAUUU